ACAGGUGCUUUUAUCAUAAUCCCUUUUCUUACUAAUUAUUAUUUUUUAAAUUGUCAAAAUAUAUUUUAGGGGGAAAAAUAAAAAGUGGGGUAAAAAAGCGUGGGAGAGAGAGAGAGACAAAACGGUGAGGAGUGUCAGCACAGGCAGAGGUUUAGGCAGUGAGGUUGAAAAUGGCGUUUCACCGGCCACACCCCCAAAUAUCCAUUUCAAGCCUUUCCUGCUUCCUCUAAACCACUCACUUUCCCCACUCUCUCUCUCUCUCUACAUAUACCUCUCACACACCACCCAUAACGAAGAAAAUAUACAUCAGAAGGUUUCUUUUGCUUUUGGGUAUUUUGUUUUCUGCAAAAAAUGGGUGCGGUGAACAGCUUCUUCUUCUCUUUCAUUCUCAUUUCAUGCAAUAACCGAGGCUCUUCUUUCGUUCUCGAAGAUGAGGUGGAGAAGGCUCAUAUGACUUGUCAUUCAACAUGGGUAUUCGGUAUUCGCCAUCACAUUCUGAAAUGCCGAGGAGAAAGACAGAGUAUGAUACAUUUUGUUUUUAUAUAUAUAUAAAAUAAUGUUAAUGGUGAUUAACGAUGCUGUUGAUUAAGGUGAUGAUGGAUGUACCAUUUCGCCAAUAUUUCAUACGUUGUGGUGUGCUUAUUCCAAACAAUAUAAUUUGCGAUAUGGUUAUUAAUUUUUUUCUAUGAUA